CUCCUACGGGAGGCAGCAGUGGGGAAUAUUGCACAAUGGGCGCAAGCCUGAUGCAGCAACGCCGCGUGAGGGACGACGGCCUUCGGGUUGUAAACCUCUUUUAGUAGGGAAGAAGCGAAAGUGACGGUACCUGCAGAAAAAGCACCGGCUAACUACGUGCCAGCAGCCGCGGUAAUACGUAGGGUGCGAGCGUUGUCCGGAAUUAUUGGGCGUAAAGAGCUCGUAGGCGGUCUGUCGCGUCUGCUGUGAAAACCCGAGGCUCAACCUCGGGCCUGCAGUGGGUACGGGCAGACUAGAGUGCGGUAGGGGAGAAUGGAAUUCCUGGUGUAGCGGUGGAAUGCGCAGAUAUCAGGAGGAACACCGAUGGCGAAGGCAGUUCUCUGGGCCGUAACUGACGCUGAGGAGCGAAAGCGUGGGGAGCGAACAGGAUUAGAUACCCUGGUAGUCCACGCCGUAAACGUUGGGCGCUAGAUGUGGGGACCAUUCCACGGUUUCCGUGUCGCAGCUAACGCAU
rnacentral:rRNA from 1 species